rnacentral:rRNA from 1 species
GAGUUUGAUCAUGGCUCAGAUUGAACGCUGGCGGCAGGCCUAACACAUGCAAGUCGAACGGUAACAGGAAACAGCUUGCUGUUUCGCUGACGAGUGGCGGACGGGUGAGUAAUGUCUGGGAAACUGCCUGAUGGAGGGGGAUAACUACUGGAAACGGUAGCUAAUACCGCAUAACGUCGCAAGACCAAAGAGGGGGACCUUCGGGCCUCUUGCCAUCAGAUGUGCCCAGAUGGGAUUAGCUAGUAGGUGGGGUAACGGCUCACCUAGGCGACGAUCCCUAGCUGGUCUGAGAGGAUGACCAGCCACACUGGAACUGAGACACGGUCCAGACUCCUACGGGAGGCAGCAGUGGGGAAUAUUGCACAAUGGGCGCAAGCCUGAUGCAGCCAUGCCGCGUGUAUGAAGAAGGCCUUCGGGUUGUAAAGUACUUUCAGCGGGGAGGAAGGGAGUAAAGUUAAUACCUUUGCUCAUUGACGUUACCCGCAGAAGAAGCACCGGCUAACUCCGUGCCAGCAGCCGCGGUAAUACGGAGGGUGCAAGCGUUAAUCGGAAUUACUGGGCGUAAAGCGCACGCAGGCGGUUUGUUAAGUCAGAUGUGAAAUCCCCGGGCUCAACCUGGGAACUGCAUCUGAUACUGGCAAGCUUGAGUCUCGUAGAGGGGGGUAGAAUUCCAGGUGUAGCGGUGAAAUGCGUAGAGAUCUGGAGGAAUACCGGUGGCGAAGGCGGCCCCCUGGACGAAGACUGACGCUCAGGUGCGAAAGCGUGGGGAGCAAACAGGAUUAGAUACCCUGGUAGUCCACGCCGUAAACGAUGUCGACUUGGAGGUUGUGCCCUUGAGGCGUGGCUUCCGGAGCUAACGCGUUAAGUCGACCGCCUGGGGAGUACGGCCGCAAGGUUAAAACUCAAAUGAAUUGACGGGGGCCCGCACAAGCGGUGGAGCAUGUGGUUUAAUUCGAUGCAACGCGAAGAACCUUACCUGGUCUUGACAUCCACGGAAGUUUUCAGAGAUGAGAAUGUGCCUUCGGGAACCGUGAGACAGGUGCUGCAUGGCUGUCGUCAGCUCGUGUUGUGAAAUGUUGGGUUAAGUCCCGCAACGAGCGCAACCCUUAUCCUUUGUUGCCAGCGGUCCGGCCGGGAACUCAAAGGAGACUGCCAGUGAUAAACUGGAGGAAGGUGGGGAUGACGUCAAGUCAUCAUGACCCUUACGACCAGGGCUACACACGUGCUACAAUGGCGCAUACAAAGAGAAGCGACCUCGCGAGAGCAAGCGGACCUCAUAAAGUGCGUCGUAGUCCGGAUUGGAGUCUGCAACUCGACUCCAUGAAGUCGGAAUCGCUAGUAAUCGUGGAUCAGAAUGCCACGGUGAAUACGUUCCCGGGCCUUGUACACACCGCCCGUCACACCAUGGGAGUGGGUUGCAAAAGAAGUAGGUAGCUUAACCUUCGGGAGGGCGCUUACCACUUUGUGAUUCAUGACUGGGGUGAAGUCGUAACAAGGUAACCGUAGGGGAACCUGCGGUUG